rnacentral:tRNA from 1 species
GGGCAGCGGCUGCAUACCUCCUUAUCGAGAUCCCGGCUUCUUCAUAAGCUCCCACACGAAUUGCUUGAUUCACUGGUUAGACGAUUGGGUCUGUAGCUCAGUUGGUUAGAGCGCACCCCUGAUAAGGGUGAGGUCGGCAGUUCGAAUCUGCCCAGACCCACCAAUUGUUGGUGUGCUGCGUGAUCCGAUACGGGGCCAUAGCUCAGCUGGGAGAGCGCCUGCUUUGCACGCAGGAGGUCAGGAGUUCGAUCCUCCUUGGCUCCACCAUCUAAAACAAUCGUCAAAAGCUCAAAAAUGAAUGUUCGUGAAUGAACAUUGAUUUCUGGUCUUUGCACCAAAACUGUUCUUUAAAAAUUCGGGUAUGUGAUAGAAGUAAAACUGAAUGAUCUCUUUCACUGGUGAUCAUUCAAGUCAAGGUAAAAUUUGCGAGUUCAAGCGCGAAUUUUCGGCGAAUGUCGUCUUCACAGUAUAACCAAAUUGCUUGGGGUUAUAUGGUCAAGUGAAAAAGCGCAUACGGGGGAUGCCUGAAACCCCUAAAACCCAAAUUACUCUGUAACUCUGUGAAAACAACGUUCGCCAAAUGGUGUUUGGAAUUCAAUAUUCAUUUGGAAAGAAAGAACCACCGAGAAAGGCGUUUGCCUUAUCCUCAAUUCCCCGCUUUUUUAUAAGAAUUGUCUUUGGUGAGCUGCUAUGUUACUUUUUCCAACGCAAUUUGGUCUGUUUUCAUCUCUCGAUGGAAAGGAAAGCGGAGAUGGGGUAGAGAGAUCAAGAUCAGCCCCCGCUGGUAAGAGCCCCCGACCGCCUGCUACCUGCUCCUCUAUAAUCAAAAAUAAAAACAAAACUGU